AGCGGGGACAGCAUCCCUGUGGGAGGAAAGGAUUCACCCAGAGCACUGCUGGACACAGAUGGUUUUCAUAUGACACCAUGAAGUGGCUUGUGGAACUCCUUGCUAUCAAGAACCAGGAAGGGAGGGACCUCUCCUGCUGACUGCAGAGCCUCCUGCCUGCAUCCCUGCUACUGGAAGGAUGGAUGGACAGUGAGCCAAGAGCAAGUAUUGGAGCUGAAAUCCUUUUGUAACUCUGUAAGAGGACAGUGUUUCAAAGUAAGACCUAGAAAGCAUGCUUGUUUGCGGAAGAUGUCCUCACAACCUUCAUGGUACAUACCAAGAACUUCAAAAAUUGACAGAAAAUGAAGUGAAAAGGAAAAACGAUACUUUUCUGUACCUUCCACAGAAAGGAAAAAGAGAACAUUGACUUGAUCUUUAUUUCUUAGUUUACGUUUAAGACUAAACUGCAUAUUUUGGUCAAUACCUGGAAAAAGGCAAGUUAGAGGAUUAUCUCUUGUAAAUCCAUCUAUCGUUUGUUUGUGUCUAAUGCUUUCUACUAGAAGUGAGAACAAAACAAAACAAAAUAAAUUACACAUUUUGAGUAAGUCUCUUUUGCAUCAUAAUGUUCCCACUAAGACACUUUUGGCAUUUUAGGGCAUGUGAAUAAAGGAGUGCAGACGAGGCAAAUCAAGUUCUGCUGCUUCAGACAAAUAGAGAUGAGGAUUUCAAAAUCAAUUCUUAGAUAUUCAAGUAUCUUUACUCAUAAAAGUCUGUCAACCAUGAAGGUCAUAAACAAAAGCAAAAAUAGAAAAUUCAUAUACAUUUUUACCAAUACAGUCAGAAAUAUCUUUUUUUCUGAUACUGUAAUUCCAGCUGUCUAUUACAUAUUAACUAUCCCCCCAAUUUUAAAAUUACAUGGACUUCAUUUGACAAUACAGAAAUGAUUUAGGACAUAAAGCAGUUGUCAAUACUGUAAACAUUUUUAUUGAAAAUAUUGCUUAAAAGAAAAACAGCACCAAGAUCUGAAUGGUUUUCUUCACUGCUCCUGAUGGCAGUUAGCAAGCAACUCACAUAACACAGAAGACCAGGGAUUUCUACCACUACUGGAUUAUUACCUGAUAUUUAUAUAAAAUUUCCAUUGUAAGUAACAUUGCAAGUCUGUUCCCAACUCUUCUAAGCAUUCAGUGAGACCCAUGACAAUGGGCAUGCUUCCCUCCCAAAGCACCAUCUUCCCAAAUCAAAAGAUUAAACCAGAAUUCUAGCUACAAAAAGAAUAAAAGGGAUUUACAUUUUCAGGCAUUGCAGUCGCUGAAGAAAACUGUGACCCAAGUGAAGCAGCAAGAAUUCAAACAAAUGAAUCAAUUGGCAAGCAGUUGUGUUCUUUCGUGUUGACAAUGCUUUGGAGGACAACUCAUAAUUUUUAAGAAGCCGGGGUUGGCAAUGCCAUCUAUGGGAUACAAUAUAAGCAUGAGGAAGUGUGGGUAUUGUCUAUAUAGUCAUGUUUUGGUUGUGUUAACAGCAGCACAAACAAAGGAAGGAAAAGUAUUUCAGUGUUGAGAGCCUAGAGCUUUUGCAUAGUAGACUGAAAUGUAGCUAGGGUGUGAAUAAUUGCAAUAACAGUCAGAGACGGCUCGGGUAAUUGCCUAGAGCCCCACUGGGUUGAACUAUGGACAUGCACAAGCCAUCUGCUGUGCAGAUGGGAGUAAGGAAGGGCCUGUACCCUAAUCUCCCACAAAUUUAAGACUAUGUCUGGUCACUGAAUAACAUGCACAGCCGAAAGGAUGCCGUCAGCUAUUCAAUGUCACAAUCCUGGUUUAAAAACCAGGACAAAGUAUUCAAGAGUUGAGGGUCAAGAGAGCCAUAUUUUGGAAUUCUGAUAAAAGAAUACAGCCACUGAGCUCUGUCCUCCUUCCUAGAUGUAAUGAGAGAAGUUUUGAUCAACACAUAACUUAUCAUUACCCACUUUUUAGGCUGGGAUUUAGGCAUUUGUCCUUCCUUCGUUUGCAUUCUGCCAGCAGUGGUCUAUUUAAUUUUAGCCAACUAGACUCUUUUGAUAAUCACAGCCCAAACAUCACUUCUGCAGAGGUCAAAGGCAGGAGAUGGCUCUGUCCCACCACCCUUUCCAUGGACUAUAGGCACAGUUAACUUGCACAGCAGCCUGCAGAUGAGGGUGCUGCUUUUGGUGUUAACUAAAAAAAAACAUUCCUUUUACAGACACAAUGAAGCACCCAUC
ensembl:lncRNA